UCCUCUCUUAUUCACCCCACGAUCUCCUCUCUCCCGUCCAUCUCGUUCUCUUCUCUCCUCUCGUCUUUCCCCCUGGCCGACCUCCUCCUCCUCCGUCCAAGUCCAUGCCACAGAGGAGAGGGCGCCAAUCCAGCAAAGAGCCGCCGCUGCCAUGGAGGGCGGCGCCGACCUCCUCAUCCGCCCGUCCCCGCCUUCCGCGCUGCCAGGAAGCCGACAUUGUGCCUCCCUAGUCGCCCGAGAUCCAGCAACAGCAGCGGCGCCCGACGCUUGGAGGACCUGCAGCGGCGCCGUCGGAUCCACCGGCCACGACCCCGUCGCGGAUCCGGCACGGAGGCCACCGGAUCUGGCCUCUCUUCUCCUCCCGCGCGCGUCCUCCUCCCUUGAGCUCCUGCAGCAGCGGCCACGGAGGACCAUGGAGCAGCAGUGCUUGGAGAUCUUGCCCCGGCGCCGCCGGAUCCGACGCCCCCGACCCUGAGCGCAGUCGGGUCUGGCGCCCCCGAUGUGAAGCAAUGCCAUAUUUCUUGAUCUUGUUUCUGUCCAAGCUAGGGUUCUUAAUCUGAUUUGUGUCCAUGUUGUGUGUCUGUGACGCGGCGAGCUGCCGAUUCCGGCCGGCAUUCCGGCCUGUUUUUUUUAAAUCGCGAAAUUAGUAUUAGUGUCCGUCUCAGAUGUGAGCCCGACAUUGAUGUACCACAACAUCACUAAAGGUGGGUCACGCCCAUUGCUGAUGAUACAAUCGUUACAACGGUCGUCCCGUCCGUUACUGAUGCGGUUUUUCGACCGUUACUGGUAAGCCUUUCUGUAGUGGUGGGAUUUGCGUGGUACUCAUGACCCAUUUUAGGGAGUACCAAGGUAUGUAUAGUAAAAUUCCUCCAACCAGUGCUUUUAAUAACUGAUCGAUUCUUUUAAUUAUUUUUUUGAUAAUUUUGGAA